rnacentral:misc_RNA from 1 species
AAGUCGUAACAAGGUUUCCGUAGGUGAACCUGCGGAAGGAUCAUUACCGAGUUCAUGCCCUUACGGGUAGAUCUCCACCCUUGCAUACCUAAACUUGUUGCUUUGGCAGGCCGUCCGGUCGCCCGGCCGUCGGCUCUCCGCUGGCGCGUGCCUGCCGAAGACCCAACCAACCAAGUCUUAUCAGUGUCGUCAGAGUACUAUAUAAUAGUUAAAACUUUCAACAACGGAUCUCUUGGUUCUA